CGGGAUCGAGUCGCAGUAUCCAACCAGAGUGGAGUUUGAGCGAGCUCGAGAGAAAAGCGGAGACGAGCAGACAUCAUUUCUCUCUCAGCGUCUUUGGACUAUCCAGACACGAAGGCAGGAGAGACCAGAAAAAAAUCAUUUUUUUCUCAACAGGAACAUAAUUAUCUGAAUUAACUCACAAAAUCAACCAUGGCCGACACAGCUGUUGACACAACCGCAACCGCAGAGGUUACAGCCAAGGAGCUGAAAGAGAAGAAAGAAGUAGAAGUGGAGGAGAAGACCGACAACGGGGACGCACCUGCCAAUGGCACAAAUGGUGCUGAUCACAGUGACAAAGUGGAGAAAACCACAGAGGAGGAACACAAGAAUGGAAAAGAUGAGAAAGCAGAGGAGGCGCCCCCUGCUGAGGAGACUGAUGCACAGCCUGUGAAGCGUGCAGCUGAAGAGGAGGAGGAGAAGGCCGACACAAAGAAGCAGAAGACAGAGGAAAAUGGAGACUCGAAAGAGGCAGAAGUGGAGGCUUAGGUCUCUGUCCUGCUACUCGUUUGCAGCACUGUCUCACCAGCCUGGUCAACAUUGUGUUGUAGAGCUUGUGCUUUCUGUAUUCUUGAGAGAGAUUUUCUUUUUUUCGGUUGCUCCCAUGUUAUCACAUUGCACUGGAGUCUUGAAACAUAGUGGCCCUGCAUCCUUUUUUUAUGAAAUGUUAUUUAUUGGUCUUUAAAAUGAGCUUUUUUUUCUACUUGUAUAAAUUGGGCCACACCAUGAGAUCAGUUUUUUUCAUUUCCUGAGGUUUUAUAUCAGUAUGUUUAGAAGCACAACCUCUAUGUCAGUGCUGACCAGAUGAUUCAUACAUACAGGCAGCUGCUCACCUCCAAGGCUCAUGUUGACCUCUCAGAUACACUUAAAAAGGACCAAAGAUAAGUUUUAAGCAGGGGAUAAUGGACAGUUGUUAGCGUUAUUAGUUAAGGCGUGAUUUUUCUUUUUGUGUUGAGCUGCUACUUAAUCCUCGGCUGCCCUGUUAACAUAACAGAUGGUGCAAAUGAAUACAGGGCUCUUGUCUUGCACCUCCAUGAUAAGAUUGUUUAACCCCAUUCUGUGGAGGCAGGAUUUUUGCAAUGUUAAUUAACCCCUCUUAAAUCUUAAAGCUUUGGUCAUUUGUUCUGUAUGCAUUCCACGCAAGUUUGUACCAUUUAUACUUUUGGUUUUCUUACAUUUUCAAUGAGUUUUACGUUACGGUUGGGUAGCCCAGUUUUCUGUACAAGACUGCCUUUUUCAGAACCAGAAUGGCAUUCGGUUACUUCAGCCACUGCUUUGUAUAUUCUGAUUAACAAAUAAAUUG
rnacentral:lncRNA from 1 species